UUGACCUCGGAUCAGGUAGGGAUACCCGCUGAACUUAAGCAUAUCAAUAAGCGGAGGAAAAGAAACCAACAGGGAUUGCCCUAGUAACGGCGAGUGAAGCGGCAAGAGCUCAAAUUUGAAAUCUGGCCCCUCCGGGGUCCGAGUUGUAAUUUGCAGAGGAUGCUUCGGGUGCGGUCCCCAUCUAAGUGCCCUGGAACGGGCCGUCAUAGAGGGUGAGAAUCCCGUCUGGGAUGGGUGGCCGUGCCCGUGUGAAGCUCCUUCGACGAGUCGAGUUGUUUGGGAAUGCAGCUCUAAAUGGGUGGUAAAUUUCAUCUAAAGCUAAAUAUUGGCCGGAGACCGAUAGCGCACAAGUAGAGUGAUCGAAAGAUGAAAAGCACUUUGAAAAGAGAGUUAAACAGCACGUGAAAUUGUUGAAAGGGAAGCGCUUGCGACCAGACUCGCCCGCGGGGGUUCAGCCGGUACUCGUACCGGUGUAUUCCCCCGUGGGCGGGCCAGCGUCGGUUUGGGCGGCCGGUCAAAGGCCCCCGGAAUGUGUCGCCUCUCGGGGCGUCUUAUAGCCGGGGGUGCAAUGCGGCCAGCCUGGACCGAGGAACGCGCUUCGGCACGGACGCUGGCGUAAUGGUCGU
rnacentral:rRNA from 2 species